GUGGUUGUGGCUCAGAGGUAGAGCACUUACCUACUGUGUAAGGGACUAGGUUCGAUCCUCAGCACCACA
rnacentral:tRNA from 1 species